rnacentral:misc_RNA from 1 species
GAUGAAGAACGUAGCGAAAUGCGAUAAGUAAUGUGAAUUGCAGAAUUCAGUGAAUCAUCGAAUCUUUGAACGCACAUUGCGACCGCCAGUAUUCUGGCGGGCAUGCCUGUUCGAGCGUCAUUUCAACCAUCAAGCCCCCGGCUUGUGUUGGGGACCUGCGGCUGCCGCAGGCCCUGAAAACCAGUGGCGGGCUCGCUAGUCACUCCGAGCGUAGUAAUACAUCUCGCUCAGGGCGUGCUGCGGGUUCCGGCCGUUAAAAAGCCUUAUUUACCCAAGGUUGACCUCGGAUCAGGUAGGAAGACCCGCUGAACUUAAGCAUAUCAAUAAGCGGAGGA